GAAGCCCCGGCACCCUUUGGGGUGCAUUUCCAGACUUGCAAUCU
rnacentral:tRNA from 1 species